rnacentral:rRNA from 1 species
UACGUAGGGGGCGAGCGUUGUCCGGAAUUAUUGGGCGUAAAGAGCUCGUAGGCGGUGUGUCACGUCGGCCGUGAAAACCUGCAGCUUAACUGUGGGCGUGCGGUCGAUACGGGCAUCACUGGAGUUCGGCAGGGGAGACUGGAAUUCCUGGUGUAGCGGUGAAAUGCGCAGAUAUCAGGAAGAACACCCGUGGCGAAAGCGGCUCUCUGGAACGGUACUGACGCUGAGACGCGAAAGCGUGGGGAGCGAACAGG